UACGUAGGGUGCGAGCGUUAAUCGGAAUUACUGGGCGUAAAGCGUGCGCAGGCGGUUCGUUAAAUUCGAUGUGAAAGCCCCGGGCUCAACCUGGGAACUGCAUUGGAAACUGGCGGGCUUGAGUGUGGCAGAGGGGGGUGGAAUUCCACGUGUAGCAGUGAAAUGCGUAGAGAUGUGGAGGAACACCGAUGGCGAAGGCAGCCCCCUGGGCUAACACUGACGCUCAGGCACGAAAGCGUGGGGAGCAAACAGG
rnacentral:rRNA from 1 species